CUGCUGUGAAAGUGCAUCUCGCCCUUUCGCUUUUCUCAUAGGCCUGGAGAUCGGGCACCCACGGCUCUUUCCCUUGUUCCAGCCGGGUGAUCAGGUCAGGUUUGGGAA